AAGUCUAUACUUUAAGUCUGUAGCUCAUUACUGGAGAAGUUUCUCUGAUCAUGAAGAGUACCCAAAACCAUGAGGAAGAGCCUGAGCAUCCUCUCCUGAGAGUGUUGCUUUUAAAACUGCCUAACCAUUGAUGAGCAUUCUUCUCUUCCCUUGGGAGAGGGAGAGGGGGAGGAUGCAGUCUGAGCGG
rnacentral:snoRNA from 1 species